rnacentral:rRNA from 1 species
UGGGGAAUUUUGCGCAAUGGGCGAAAGCCUGACCCAGCAACGCCGCGUGAAGGAUGAAGUAUUUCGGUAUGUAAACUUCGAAAGAAUAGGAAGAAUAAAUGACGGUACUAUUUAUAAGGUCCGGCUAACUACGUGCCAGCAGCCGCGGUAAUACGUAGGGACCAAGCGUUGUUCGGAUUUACUGGGCGUAAAGGGCGCGUAGGCGGCAAUUCAAGUCAUCUGUGAAAUCUCCGGGCUUAACUCGGAACGGUCAGAUGAUACUGCUUUGCUAGAGUGCAGAAGGGGCAAUCGGAAUUCUUGGUGUAGCGGUGAAAUGCGUAGAUAUCAAGAGGAACACCUGAGGUGAAGACGGGUUGCUGGGCUGACACUGACGCUGAGGCGCGAAAGCCAGGGGAGCAAACGGGAUUAGAUACCCAUGUAGUCCCUGAGCGGGCUGGCAAGGCGCAU